UACGAAGGGGGCUAGCGUUGUUCGGAUUUACUGGGCGUAAAGCGCACGUAGGCGGAUCGUUAAGUCGGGGGUGAAAUCCUGGAGCUCAACUCCAGAACUGCCUUUGAUACUGAAGAUCUUGAGUCCGGGAGAGGUGAGUGGAACUGCGAGUGUAGAGGUGAAAUUCGUAGAUAUCGAGAGGAACACCUGCGGCGAAGGCGGGUUGCUGGGCUGAUACUGACGCUGAGGCGCGAAAGCCAGGGGAGCGAACGGG
rnacentral:rRNA from 1 species